rnacentral:lncRNA from 10 species
CUGGAUAAGAAAUGCAUCGAAGAUAUUAAUCAGCUCAUAGCACAGAGGUUGUGGAUUUUCAAACCAAUCCCCUGUGGAUAACAACUGUCGCAGAGUAAGACCAUUUAAAGGGACCAAAAAUGGAUGAACAUACUUGGCACUAUGAACUAAAAGAUCUUUGGCUAAAGAAGAGAUGAAGACUCAUUCAACUCCUACAAGUGAAUUAAGGAGCUCUGAGAAGGCAAAGCCAGCCCAGGAGGGUGGACACACUAAGAACAAUGUGCCUUGUCCUGAUACACAGUUGUGGUAUAGGUAACAAAAUCUGAGUAUCCAACCUAAGAUGUUACCCCUCACCUCACCAGAAUACCUCCAAUCCCUUCCCUGGAAACACAGAAUAAAUUCCUAUAGAAAGUUAUAAAGCAGAAAAACAAGGUAUCUUUUGU